UACGUAGGGGGCGAGCGUUGUCCGGAAUUACUGGGCGUAAAGGGUGCGCAGGCGGCGCGUUAAGUCAGAUGUGAAAAACCUGGGCUUAACUCAGGGAGUGCAUUUGAAACUGGUGUGCUUGAGUGCAGGAGAGGAAAGUGGAAUUCCUAGUGUAGCGGUGAAAUGCGUAGAGAUUAGGAGGAACACCAGUGGCGAAGGCGACUUUCUGGACUGUAACUGACGCUGAGGCACGAAAGCGUGGGGAGCAAACAGG
rnacentral:rRNA from 1 species